UACAGAGGGUGCGAGCGUUGUUCGGAAUUAUUGGGCGUAAAGAGCUCGUAGGCGGUUUGUCGCGUCUGCCGGUGAAAGUCCGGGGCUCAACUCCGGAUCUGCGGUGGGUACGGGCAGACUAGAGUGAUGUAGGGGAGAGUGGAAUUCCUGGUGUAGCGGUGAAAUGCGCAGAUAUCAGGAAGAACACCCGUGGCUAAGGCGGCUCUCUAGUACGGUACUGACGCUGAGACGCGAAAGCGUGGGGAGCGAACAGG
rnacentral:rRNA from 1 species